UACGUAGGGUGCAAGCGUUGUCCGGAUUUAUUGGGCGUAAAGAGCGUGUAGGCGGCCACACAGGUCAGCUGUGAAAACUCGAGGCUCAACCUCGAGACGUCGGUUGAAACCGUAUGGCUAGAGUCCGGAAGAGGAGAGUGGAAUUCCCGGUGUAGCGGUGGAAUGCGCAGAUAUCGGGAGGAACACCCGUGGCGAAGGCGGCACUCUGGGACGGUACUGACGCUGAGACGCGAAAGCGUGGGGAGCAAACAGG
rnacentral:rRNA from 1 species